rnacentral:pre_miRNA from 1 species
AAGCUACUCCCUCCGUCCGAAAAUACUUGUCAUCAAAAUGGACAAAAAGGGAUGUAUCUAGAACUAAAAUACAUCUAGAUACAUCCCCUUUUAUUCAUUUUGAUGACAAGUAUUUCCGGACGGAGGGAGUACCAU